rnacentral:rRNA from 1 species
AUUGAACGCUGGCGGCAGGCCUAACACAUGCAAGUCGAACGAGUGGCGGACGGGUGAGUAAUGUCUGGGAAACUGCCUGAUGGAGGGGGAUAACUACUGGAAACGGUAGCUAAUACCGCAUACCAUCAGAUGUGCCCAGAUGGGAUUAGCUAGUUGGUGGGGUAACGGCUCACCAAGGCGACGAUCCCUAGCUGGUCUGAGAGGAUGACCAGCCACACUGGAACUGAGACACGGUCCAGACGCCUACGUGAGGCAGCAGUGGGGAAUAUUGCACAAUGGGCGCAAGCCUGAUGCAGCCAUGCCGCGGGUAUGAAGAAGGCCUUCGGGUUGUAAAGUACUUUCAGCGGGGAGGCGGUAGCAGAAGAAGAAGCACCGGCUAACUCCGUGCCAGCAGCCGCGGUAAUAG